rnacentral:rRNA from 1 species
AUUGAACGCUGGCGGCAGGCCUAACACAUGCAAGUCGAGCGGAUGAAGGGAGCUUGCUCCUGGAUUCAGCGGCGGACGGGUGAGUAAUGCCUAGGAAUCUGCCUGGUAGUGGGGGAUAACGUCCGGAAACGGGCGCUAAUACCGCAUACGUCCUGAGUGAGAAAGUGGGGGAUCUUCGGACCUCACGCUAUCAGAUGAGCCUAGGUCGGAUUAGCUAGUUGGUGGGGUAAAGGCCUACCAAGGCGACGAUCCGUAACUGGUCUGAGAGGAUGAUCAGUCACACUGGAACUGAGACACGGUCCAGACUCCUACGGGAGGCAGCAGUGGGGAAUAUUGGACGAUGGGCGAAAGCCUGAUCCAGCCAUGCCGCGUGUGUGAAGAAGGUCUUCGGAUUGUAAAGCACUUUAAGUUGGGAGGAAGGGCAGUAAGUUAAUACCUUGCUGUUUUGACGUUACCAACAGAAUAAGCACCGGCUAACUUCGUG